rnacentral:rRNA from 1 species
UACGGAGGGUGCAAGCGUUAUCCGGAUUCACUGGGUUUAAAGGGUGCGUAGGUGGGAAAGUAAGUCAGUGGUGAAAUCUCCGUGCUUAACACGGAAACUGCCAUUGAUACUAUUUUUCUUGAAUUUUCUGGAGGUCAGCGGAAUAUGUCAUGUAGCGGUGAAAUGCUUAGAUAUGACAUAGAACACCAAUGCGAAGGCAGCUGGCUACAGGGAUAUUGACACUGAGGCACGAAAGCGUGGGGAUCAAACAGG